AUGAACGCUAGCUACAGGCUUAACACAUGCAAGUCGAGGGGAAACGACAUCGACAGCUUGCUUUUGAUGGGCGUCGACCGGCGCACGGGUGAGUAACGCGUAUCCAACCUGCCCAUCACUUGGGAAUAACCUUGCGAAAGUAAGACUAAUACCCAAUGACAUCCCACGAAGACAUCUGAAUGGGAUUAAAGAUUUAUCGGUGAUGGAUGGGGAUGCGUCUGAUUAGCUUGUUGGCGGGGUAACGGCCCACCAAGGCAACGAUCAGUAGGGGUUCUGAGAGGAAGGUCCCCCACAUUGGAACUGAGACACGGUCCAAACUCCUACGGGAGGCAGCAGUGAGGAAUAUUGGUCAAUGGGCGAGAGCCUGAACCAGCCAAGUAGCGUGCAGGAUGACGGCCCUAUGGGUUGUAAACUGCUUUUAUAAGGGAAUAAAGUGGGUCUCGUGAGACUUUUUGCAUGUACCUUAUGAAUAAGGACCGGCUAAUUCCGUG
rnacentral:rRNA from 1 species